rnacentral:lncRNA from 1 species
UAGUGCAAAUUGGUGAAAGGGGUGUCACUGGAAUACCGGUCACGCGUGGCGUGAGGGCUUCCUACGCACGGCGUGACGAUGGAAAUGGUUAAGUUAGCUCUCUGACUAGUUAUCACGCGCGGCGUGGUAUCUGUCACGCACGGCGUGAACAAGGCAGAGAGGAAAGUGGUUUUGCUAAAAGUGGUCACGCGCGGCGUGAGGAGGACUACGCGCGGCGUCGUCGAGUCAACAUGACCGUUUGAAUUUGGUCAACAUGACCGUUGGAUUUUGGGUCAAAAUAGGAAAUUUGAAAUACAUCACGCGCGGCGUGGAGUACGUCACGCGCGGCGUAAUCAGGUGACUUUGUUCUGACUAUUUAAACCCUCAAUUUAUAGCUAAAGACUCACCAUUCAUCAAGGUUCAGAUUCAUCUGCUUGGUUUUAGGCUUCAGAUCU